ACAAUUCUGAACACGCCUGCUCUCCUCUGAUCUCGUAAAGCUAAGCAGGGUCGGGCCUGGUUAGUACUUGGAUGAGAGACCACCUAGGAAGACCAGGU
rnacentral:rRNA from 1 species